AUCUUUGCGCUUGGGGCAAUGACGCAGUUAGUGAGGUGAAACCGAGACGCGUCAAUUGCUGGUUGAAAACUAUUUCCAUAUCCCGAGGAGUCCGUGAAGCAUCUGCACGCUAAUUGUUCUCUCAUGAUACUUCUU
rnacentral:snRNA from 1 species